GCAUCCGUAGCUCACUUGGAUAGAGCGCAGGACUCCGACUCCUGAGGCAGAUGGUUCGACUCCAUUCGGAUGCGCCA
rnacentral:tRNA from 1 species